rnacentral:lncRNA from 1 species
ACACCGCAAUAGGUACAAUUUUGUUUUGUGAAACUGUCAAGCUAAAAAUCACUGAAUUUUCUUCAAAAGAUUGUAUGAAAUAAGACAGCUUUCUAAAUUAACUAUUAGUCAUUUAAAACGUGUUCUUCUCCAACAACUAUCAAGUAGAGUUCAAACGUAAAAUUAUCAAAGCUCUAAGUUUAUUGCAGUGUUCUCAGCUUUGAUCUAAGAGAGAAAAAGCUAAUUUUCCUAAGGACAUAGCAAGGAAAUUCACUAAUAAUAUUUUGUGAAAACUACACCUUAGAAAACUACCAAAAUGAGUCAAAAUAUACAUGUAUUUUCCUGUAAUUACU